UACAGAGGUCCCAAGCGUUGUUCGGAUUCACUGGGCGUAAAGGGUGCGUGGGUGGUGAGGUAAGUCGGAUGUGAAAGCUCGGAGCUCAACUCCGAAAUGGCAUUGGAAACUACCUUGCUCGAGGGUUGGAGGGGGGACUGGAAUACUUGGUGGUAGCAGUGAAAUGCGUAGAUAUCAAGUGGAACACCAGUGGCGAAGGCGAGUCCCUGGACAACUCCUGACACUGAGGCACGAAAGCUAGGGGAGCAAACAGG
rnacentral:rRNA from 1 species